rnacentral:tRNA from 1 species
UGUUUGGUGGCUGAGAUUGUAAGCGAUAGACUGUAGAUCUAUUAACGAAAUUAAUUUUUCCCGACAA